rnacentral:rRNA from 1 species
AAUCAACGCUGGCGGCGUGCCUAACACAUGCAAAGUCGAACGAGAAAGGAGACUUCGGGUCUCUGAGUACAGUGGCGCACGGGUGAGUAACACGUGACUAACCUACCCUUGAGUGGGGAAUAACUUCGGGAAACCGAGGCUAAUACCGCAUAAUACCCACGGGUCAAAGGAGCAAUUCGCUUGAGGAGGAGGUCGCGGCCCGAUUAGUUAGUUGGCGGGGUAAUGGCCCCCACCAAGACGGUGAUCGGUAUCCGGCCUGAGAGGGCGCACGGACACACUGGAACUGAAACACGGUCCAGACUCCUACGGGAGGCAGCAGUGGGGAAUUUUGCGCAAUGGGGGAAACCCUGACGCAGCAACGCCGCGUGGAGGAUGAAGUCUCUUGGGACGUAAACUCCUUUCGAUCGGGACGAUUAUGACGGUACCGGAAGAAGAAGCCCCGGCUAACUUCGUG